rnacentral:rRNA from 1 species
GUGGGGAAUAUUGGACAAUGGGCGCAAGCCUGAUCCAGCCAUGCCGCGUGAGUGAUGAAGGCCCUAGGGUUGUAAAGCUCUUUCACCGAUGAAGAUAAUGACGGUAGUCGGAGAAGAAGCCCCGGCUAACUUCGUGCCAGCAGCCGCGGUAAUACGAAGGGGGCUAGCGUUGUUCGGAAUUACUGGGCGUAAAGCGCACGUAGGCGGAUAUUUAAGUCAGGGGUGAAAUCCCAGAGCUCAACUCUGGAACUGCCUUUGAUACUGGGUAUCUCGAGUAUGGAAGAGGUGAGUGGAAUUCCGAGUGUAGAGGUGAAAUUCGUAGAUAUUAGGAAGAACACCAGUGGCGAAGGCGGCUCACUGGUCCGGUACUGACGCUGAGGUGCGAAAGCGUGGGGAGCAAACAGGAUUAGAAACCCGGGUAGUCC